rnacentral:rRNA from 1 species
UGCCAGCAGCCGCGGUAAUACGGAGGGUGCAAGCGUUGCUCGGAAUCACUGGGCGUAAAGCGAACGCAGGCGGGUAUUUAAGUCGGUUGUGAAAGCCCAGGGCUCAACCCUGGAACUGCAUCCGAAACUGGGUACCUUGAGUGCGGGAGAGGGAAGCGGAAUUCCUGGUGUAGAGGUGAAAUUCGUAGAUAUCAGGAGGAACACCGGUGGCGAAAGCGGCUUCCUGGCCCGAUACUGACGCUCAUGUUCGAAAGCGUGGGGAGCAAACAGGAUUAGAUA